rnacentral:rRNA from 1 species
GACGAACCGUCCAAACGUUAUUCGGAAUUACUGGGCUUAAAGGGUGCGUAGGCGGCUCUGCAAGUUGGGUGUGAAAUCCCUCGGCUCAACCGAGGAAUGGCGCCCAAAACUGUGGAGCUCGAGGGAGACAGAGGUGAGUGGAACUUGUGGUGGAGCGGUGAAAUGCGUUGAUAUCACAAGGAACACCGGUGGCGAAAGCGGCUCACUGGGUCUCUUCUGACGCUGAGGCACGAAAGCUGGGGGAGCGAACGGGAUUAGAUACCCGGGUAGUCCCUGAG